rnacentral:rRNA from 1 species
AGAGUUUGAUCCUGGCUCAGAGCGAACGCUGGCGGCGUGCUUAACACAUGCAAGUCGAACGCGCAGCAUUCUGUAGCAAUACAGGGUGUGGGCGCGUGGCGAACGGGUGCGUAACACGUGGAUAACCUUCCUUCAGGUGGGGAAUAACCCCGCGAAAGCGGGGCUAAUACCGCAUAACAUGACGAUGCCACAUGGUGUUG